rnacentral:rRNA from 1 species
GUGCCAGCAGCCGCGGUAAGACGUAGGAUGCAAGCGUUGUCCGGAUUUAUUGGGCGUAAAGAGUUCGUAGGCGGCUUGUUAAGUCUGGUGUUAAAGACUGGGGCUCAACCUCGGAAAUGCACUGGAUACUGGCAGGCUUGAGUAUGGUAGAGGCGAGCGGAAUUCCCAGUGUAGCGGUGAAAUGCGUAGAUAUUGGGAAGAACACCGGUGGCGCAAGCGGCUCGCUGGGCCAUUACUGACGCUGAGGAACGAAAGCUAGGGGAGCGAAUGGGAUUAGAAACCCCUGUAGUCC